rnacentral:tRNA from 1 species
CGGAGCGUAUCGCGCAGUUUGGUAGCGCGUCUCGUUCGGGACGAGAAGGUCGCUGGUUCGAAUCCAGUCGCUCCGACCA